UGAGGGCUCUGGUCCUGGCAACGAGAGCUGCUGAGGAGAAGCAGGUGUGGGAAAGCCCCGGAUGAACACCUGGUGAGGCCAAGCGCUUGCAGGGCCUGUGUGAAAAGUCCUUUCUGAGAACGACUCUCUUUGUGCUCACAAUCUGUCUCUCUGUGAAAGCGAAUCUGUUCACUGGAUGCAGAAAUGAAGUUUCAGAAACGAGGCCCCGAGGGUUCCCUGAGCUGACACGGAGAAGACAGUGAAUGUGAGAUCGAGGAUUGGUGCCGGCAGAGGGCUGGAAAUGGUGUUAGGAGGGCGACCAGGUGUGCUGUCUGGUUGCACAGCCCCGCGUGUGGAAGAUGGCGUCACACCGCGGACUUGGCUCAUUCUGCUGCUGCCUUUGCAGCUCUCCGCAGGAGGCGAGGUAAUGGUAAGUGGUAGCUCUGUAUGUCACUAUCUGACAGUCAUCCCAGCAAGAGCAUUUUAAUUUUCUCACGUAAAGGCGCUCUCGGAGGAAACACAAUUAAUUGGCUUCUGAAACGCCUUGACACU